rnacentral:tRNA from 1 species
GAGGUUGUGGCUCAGUGGUAGAGUGCUUGCCUUGCAAGCGUGAAGCACUGGGUUCGAUCCUCGGCACCACA